AUUGAACGCUGGCGGAAUGCUUCACACAUGCAAGUCGAACGGCAGCACGGACUUCGGUCUGGUGGCGAGUGGCGAACGGGUGAGUAAUACAUCGGAACGUGCCCAGUCGUGGGGGAUGACGUGGCGAAAGCUACGCUAAUACCGCAUACGAUCUAAGGAUGAAAGCGGGGGAUCGCAAGACCUCGCGCGAUUGGAGCGGCCGAUGGCAGAGUAGGUAGUUGGUAGGGUAAAGGCCUACCAAGCCGACGAUCUGUAGCUGGUCUGAGAGGAUGAUCAGCCACACUGGGACUGAGACACGGCCCAGACUCCUACGGGAGGCAGCAGUGGGGAAUUUUGGACAAUGGGCGCAAGCCUGAUCCAGCCAUUCCGCGUGCAGGAUGAAGGCCUUCGGGUUGUAAACUGCUUUUGUACAGAACGAAAAGGCUCUGGUUAAUACCCGGGGCUCAUGACGGUACUGUAAGAAUAAGCACCGGCUAACUACGUGCCAGCCGCCGCAGUAA
rnacentral:rRNA from 1 species